rnacentral:lncRNA from 1 species
ACCUUUGUACUAGCACAGGAUAGAUAUAUUUUUCAAUUUAAUAAAGACUUUUAUUCUAUUUAUUUAUAAAAUAAAUUAGUUGCAUCUGGUCUCUUGAUUAACAGUCUUUAUUACUUGUAUGUUGAUGCUAAUGUGAACUUAAAUAAGUAAGUAGUGAAUGUCAUAGGCCAAAAAAGACCCAGAGAAAAGUUUAACCAUAAGUAUUUAUGGCACCAUAGGCUUGGCCAUAUUGAAGAGGACAAGAUAAACGACUAGAA